rnacentral:rRNA from 1 species
AAGUCGAACGAGAAAGUGGAGCAACCCAUGAGUAAAGUGGCGACCGGGUGAGUAACACGUGACUAACCUACCUCCGAGUGGGGAAUAACUCCGGGAAACCGGGGCUAAUACCGCAUAACAUCGCAAGAUCAAAGCAGCAAUGCGCUUGGAGAGGGGGUCGCGGCUGAUUAGCUAGUUGGCGGGGUAACGGCCCACCAAGGCGAAGAUCGGUAUCCGGCCUGAGAGGGCGCACGGACACACUGGAACUGAAACACGGUCCAGACUCCUACGGGAGGCAGCAGUGGGGAAUUUUGCGCAAUGGGGGAAACCCUGACGCAGCAACGCCGCGUGGAGGAUGAAGCCCUUUGGGGCGUAAACUCCUUUCGACCAAGACGAUAAUGACGGUACUGGUGGAAGAAGCACCGGCUAACUCUGUGCCAGCAGCCGCGGUAAUACAGAGGGUGCAAGCGUUGUUCGGAAUUAUUGGGCGUAAAGGGCG